rnacentral:rRNA from 1 species
UACGAAGGGAGCGAGCGUUGUUCGGAAUCACUGGGCUUAAAGCGUACGUAGGCGGCCAAGCAAGUCAGAAGUGAAAUCCCAGGGCUUAACCCUGGAAUGCCUUUUGAAACUGCAUGGCUCGAGACCUGGAGAGGUUGGCGGAAUUCCGAGUGUAGAGGUGAAAUUCGCAGAUAUUCGGAGGAACACCAGUGGCGAAAGCGGCCAACUGGACAGGUACUGACGCUGAUGUACGAAAGCGUGGGGAGCAAACAGG